AUUGAACGCUGGCGGCAGGCCUAACACAUGCAAGUCGAACGAGUGGCGGACGGGUGAGUAAUGUCUGGGAAACUGCCUGAUGGAGGGGGAUAACUACUGGAAACGGUAGCUAAUACCGCAUACCAUGAGAUGUGCCCAGGUGGGAUUAGCUAGUUGGUGGGGUAACGGCUCACCAAGGCGACGAUCCAUAGCUGGUCUGAGAGGAUGACCAGCCACACGGGAACUGAGACACGGUCCAGACUCCUACGAGAGGCAGCAGUGGGGAAUAUUGCGCAAUGGGCGCAAGCCUGAUGCAGCCAGGCCGCGUGUAUGAAGAAGGCCUUCGGUUUGUAAAGUACUUUCAGCGGGGAGGCGUUACCCGCAGAAGAAGCACCGGCUAACUCCGUGCCAGCAGCCGCGGUAAUAC
rnacentral:rRNA from 1 species